UACGUAGGCAGCGAGCGUUGUUCGGAGUUACUGGGCGUAAAGGGUGUGUAGGCGGUUGUUUAAGUUUGGUGUGAAAUCUCCCGGCUCAACUGGGAGGGUGCGCCGAAUACUGAAUGACUUGGAGUGCGGGAGAGGAAAGUGGAAUUCCUGGUGUAGCGGUGAAAUGCGUAGAUAUCAGGAGGAACACCGGUGGUGUAGACGGCUUUCUGGACCGUAACUGACGCUGAGACACGAAAGCGUGGGGAGCGAACAGG
rnacentral:rRNA from 1 species